rnacentral:rRNA from 1 species
GGUUAAGCGACUAAGCGUACACGGUGGAUGCCCUGGCAGUCAGAGGCGAUGAAGGACGUGCUAAUCUGCGAUAAGCGUCGGUAAGGUGAUAUGAACCGUUAUAACCGGCGAUUUCCGAAUGGGGAAACCCAGUGUGUUUCGACACACUAUCAUUAACUGAAUCCAUAGGUUAAUGAGGCGAACCGGGGGAACUGAAACAUCUAAGUACCCCGAGGAAAAGAAAUCAACCGAGAUUCCCCCAGUAGCGGCGAGCGAACGGGGAGCAGCCCAGAGCCUGAAUCAGUGUGUGUGUUAGUGGAAGCGUCUGGAAAGGCGCGCGAUACAGGGUGACAGCCCCGUACACAAAAAUGCACAUAUUGUGAGCUCGAUGAGUAGGGCGGGACACGUGGUA